UUCUGACAAGUGUGUGAGUCUGGCUGAGUGGGGGUGGGGGGAUGGUGUUUAUGGGCUCAGAAUAGAGGAAGUUAUGGGCUCAGAAUAGAGGAAGCGCAUGCUGAUUGGUCCACGGGUGGCCAUGGGUGGGCCUGGAAAAAGCACCAUCCGAUUGGCCAAAAGGCAUCAAGGAAGUUCUCACUCCCAGUCCAGAACUCCACCUGGAACUGGCAGCCCAGCCCCAGGCUUCGGGCUGUACCUGGCUUGAAGGUGGGGUUUCCCCCAGGACCUAGCCCUUCCCACCUAGGAACCUGUCUGCCUCCCAGUGCCAUCAACCUGCUAUCUGUGGCGCCCAGGCAAUCUGCACCAAGGGUCACUCGCAGGCCCACGCCAAGCCACUCUCAGCCAGUCCAGAUGUGGCAGGGUGCUGGUGUGUCACUGCCGCCCAGAGCAAGCACACACCUGGAAAGGACUCACUGUGACACAUUCCAGCCUGUGGAAAGAAAGACUUCUAUUUCAAGGUGAGAAAUGAGAAGCAGGCUGACUUGAUCAACAUUUCAAACUUGCUAAGGAUGAUGCAGCAAGAAAGUCCUCACAAGAUGCUAACCCAUAGAUCUUGGACUUCCCAGCCUCCAGAACUGUAUACUGAAUAUAACUUCUAGAAGGAUCAAAGAUUAGUAGAGGAUACAAGAAAAAGCACACAAAUAACUACAAAAUAAAGGCCAGUAAGAUAAAUAUCAUAAGAGUGCGGCAAACAAAGUUUGAGAAUAAAGAAGAAACAGCAUCACAUUAUCUGUUUAGUGUCUUAACAGCUGUAUGCAAGGUGGCAAAGAAAUGCAUGUAUUCAUUUUGCAUAUUUAAAAUUACAAGUGUCUACAGCUCACAGACAAUCUUUGAAUAAUUUUUUGCAAGUGUCUAAUAAAUGUUUUGGAAAUAAUAAUGAAGUCGUUUUUUAAAUAUCAAAUGAGAGAUUAUUAAUAUCGAUGUAUAAAACCCAAGGCUAACAUUUAUUUUCUAUAUUCCUUGCUUGGAC
rnacentral:lncRNA from 10 species